rnacentral:rRNA from 1 species
GUGAGGAAUAUUGGUCAAUGGGCGCAAGCCUGAACCAGCCAUGCCGCGUGCAGGAAGACGGUCCUAUGGAUUGUAAACUGCUUUUAUUUGGGAAUAAACUCCGGUACGUGUACCGGCCUGAAGGUACCAAAUGAAUAAGCACCGGCUAACUCCGUGCCAGCAGCCGCGGUAAUACGGAGGGUGCAAGCGUUAUCCGGAAUCAUUGGGUUUAAAGGGUCCGCAGGCGGUCUUAUAAGUCAGUGGUGAAAGCCUACAGCUCAACUGUAGAACUGACAUUGAUACUGUAGGACUUGAAUUCGAUCGAAGUGGGCGGAAUGUGACAUGUAGCGGUGAAAUGCUUAGAUAUGUCACAGAACACCGAUAGCGAAGGCAGCUCACUAGGUCUGGAUUGACGCUCAGGGACGAAAGCGUGGGGAGCAAACAGGAUUAGAUACCCCUGUAGUCC